UACGGGGGGAGCAAGCGUUGUUCGGAUUUACUGGGCGUAAAGGGCGCGUAGGCGGCCAGCGCAAGUCAGUUGUGAAAUCUCCGGGCUUAACUCGGAACGGUCAACUGAUACUGCGCGGCUAGAGUGCGGAAGGGGCAACUGGAAUUCUCGGUGUAGCGGUGAAAUGCGUAGAUAUCAAGAGGAACACCUGCGGCGAAGGCGGGUUGCUGGGCCGACACUGACGCUGAAGCGCGAAAGCCAGGGGAGCGAACGGG
rnacentral:rRNA from 1 species